rfam:Capsicum annuum cultivar Zunla-1 chromosome 4, whole genome shotgun sequence
CUCUUUAUGUUAGAAGACAUUAGACAAAAUUGGAAUGAUAUAGAGAAAAUUAGCAUAACCCCUACACAAGGAUAGAAAUAAACAAAGAACUUCAAUACAGUCAU